rnacentral:rRNA from 1 species
UACGAAGGGGGCUAGCGUUGUUCGGAAUUACUGGGCGUAAAGCGCACGUAGGCGGACUAUUCAGUCAGGGGUGAAAUCCCGGGGCUCAACCCCGGAACUGCCUUUGAUACUGGUAGUCUCGAGUCCGGAAGAGGUGAGUGGAAUUCCGAGUGUAGAGGUGAAAUUCGUAGAUAUUCGGAGGAACACCAGUGGCGAAGGCGGCUCACUGGUCCGGUACUGACGCUGAGGUGCGAAAGCGUGGGGAGCAAACAGG